UAGGCAAUUCACUGGAGUCAUAUUGUGAAUUCUGCUAUGAAACAAUUGAAAUAGUAAUUAUGAAAAACUAGCAAUGAAAUUAUUGCAUCCUC